UACGUAGGCAGCGAGCGUUGUUCGGAGUUACUGGGCGUAAAGCGUGCGUAGGCGGUGUUUUAAGUUUGUUGUGAAAUCUCCCGGCUUAACCGGGAGGGUGCGGCGAAUACUGAGAUGCUGGAGUGCCGGAGAGGUAAGCGGAUUCCUGGUGUAGCGGUGAAAUGCGUAGAUAUCAGGAGGAACACCUGCGGUGUAGACGGCUUACUGGACGGUAACUGACGCUGAGGCACGAAAGCGUGGGUAGCAAACAGG
rnacentral:rRNA from 1 species